rnacentral:rRNA from 1 species
AUUGAACGCUGGCGGCAGGCCUAACACAUGCAAGUCGAGCGGAUGAAGGGGGCUUGCUCCUGGAUUCAGCUGCGGACGGGUGAGUAAUGCCUAGGAAUCUGCCUUGUAGUGGGGGAUAACGUCCGGAAACGGGCGCUAAUACCGCAUACGUCCUGAGGGAGAAAGGGGGGGAUCUUCGGACCUCACGCUAUCAGAUGAGCCUAGGUCGGAUUAGCUAGUUGGUGGGGUAAGGGCCUACCAAGGCGACGAUCCGUAACUGGUCUGAGAGGAUGAUCAGUCACACUGGAACUGAGACACGGUCCAGACUCCUACGGGAGGCAGCAGUGGGGAAUAUUGGACAAUGGGCGAAAGCCUGAUCCAGCCAUGCCGCGUGUGUGAAGAAGGUCUUCGGAUUGUAAAGCACUUUAAGUUGGGAGGAAGGGCAGUAAGUUAAUACCUUGCUGUUUUGACGUUACCAACAGAAUAAGCACCGGCUAACUUCGUG